rnacentral:lncRNA from 1 species
UUUCACUCAAUAUUUUCAUUUUGGAUUCAAUUACUCUUCACGUGGCUAACACCGGAUGUGUUUUUUGAGAGAUAGGUAGCAUACUACCCGCUUCGUUUGCUUAUUUUAGAAAUAAACUUAGUUGUACAUGUGAGUCAACUAAAAUUCGAACUUGGGACCUUGUGUACCAACCACCAAACCCUUUACCACUUACGUCAGGAACAGUCGAUGGCUAACACUGGAUGUUAUAUUGGAUUUGUGCUGUAUGCUAGCAGGACCCAAUAUGUGUCGGAAUACGUAUAUUGAACUAAGGGCAUGUUUGGCUCAGAUUAUCCUGGCAGGACUAGAGGCAAUCUUGCCAGAAUUACUGUAUUUAGUUUAUCCAAUCUGUAAUCUGAUCGGUUAUAUAGCAUUUUAAAUAAUAUAAGAUUACUCCGAAAAUAUUACCGAGCGAGAGUGGAUAUUUCGUUUUACUGAUGGCGGAUUAUCUUGAUCAUAAGAAUAAUUAUGAAAUAGACUAUAUUUUAUUGUCAAAAUUAUCAAAUUUUAUCAAUUGAAACCAAAUAAAAUAAUUUUAUAUACACGGUAUAAUUCAGCAUUAUAUUAUUGUAUUAAAUCAAAAGCAAUAAUAAUAUAACAUCAGCAGCAAUCUGUUUUAUAAAUCUCUAAUAUUUAGUUAUAUCAAAAUUAUCUGCAAUACUACAUAACGCAAAUCAAAAUGUGCCAUAAAAAUAAAUUUACUUAACCAAUAAAUUU